CAGGAGCUGGGAGGGAGACAUGGAAGUGCUCAUCAGAGCUCCCCAGGGCCUGCCCCACAGUGAGGCCUCAGCACUGCAGCUUGAUUUUCACCUUUACCAUCUCUUUUAAUCUGUUGAGCUUCUGGAGACAUUUCUCUGCCAAACCAAGACUGGAAACGAUUGAGCUCACCUGUGCACUUUGCAAACUUCGAAGUGCAGCGCACAGGGCAACAGCUGGGCUGCAUUGUAUUCUCAGGCUCCUAUGCCUGGGCCAACUUCACCAUCCUGGCCUUGGGCGUGUGGGCUGUGGCUCAGCGGGACUCCAUCGACGCCAUAAGCAUGUUUCUGGGUGGCUUGCUGGCCACCAUCUUCCUGGACAUCGUGCACAUCAGCAUCUUCUACCCGCGGGUCAGCCUCACGGACACGGGCCGCUUUGGCGUGGGCAUGGCCAUCCUCAGCUUGCUGCUCAAGCCGCUCUCCUGCUGCUUCGUCUACCACAUGUACCGGGAGCGCGGGGGUGAGCUCCUGGUCCACGCUGGUUUCCUUGGGUCUUCUCAGGACCGUAGUGCCUACCAGACGAUUGACUC
rnacentral:sRNA from 1 species